GGCCCGUUGGUGAAGGGGUUUAACACAUCGCCCUCUCAAGGCGACAUUCACGAGUUCAAAUCUCGUACGGGUCA
rnacentral:tRNA from 1 species